CACCAAAAAUUCCCAUGAAAGUUCUUGACAGUUUAUUACAUUAUUCUCAGUUCAUCAAUUUCAGGUAGAUAUAUCUGCACAGUAAUCAAUAUUGGAUUCACUAUUUGGUGGCUGGUCGAUUAAGUGUCCCGAAAUUCAGCUUGGCAGAGACUUGGCUGUGCUGAAUGUAGUAAAAUGGAGCUGGGAUGCAUGAGAUGGGGUCUAUUUUGUAUUUAAUUAGGCCAAAUUUUCUAGAUGAGACAACCUUAUCACAUUUAUCCUGUUUUGACCCUCUCAUUGUUUAUGUAUUACCAAGAAUAUAUAGAGUUGGA
rnacentral:misc_RNA from 1 species